AUUGGUUUAGUGUUUUCCUAUUUUAGGAUUCCUAAUCCUAGCAAUAGUAGGAUUAGUUAUUAGACUAUAAAUACCUAUAUAUUCUAGGUAUUCUAGUAGAGCUUAUCAUUACUGGUAUUGACAAUUGAAAAUUAGUAGAACUUGAGAGUUUAUUUCUUUUUUCAUUUGAUUGUUAUUUGUGACUAUCAAGAAACCACUCAACCUAAAAGUUUAAGCUUGUAGGUGAGAGCCCAAAGAAUAGUUUUAUAUCUCU
rnacentral:misc_RNA from 1 species